UACGAACCGUGCGAACGUUGUUCGGAAUCACUGGGCUUAAAGGGCGCGUAGGCGGGCUGCCAAGUCUGGGGUGAAAUCCCACGGCUCAACCGUGGAACUGCCUUGGAUACUGGCGGCCUCGAGGGAGGUAGGGGCAUGCGGAACUGUGGGUGGAGCGGUGAAAUGCGUUGAUAUCCACAGGAACUCCGGUGGCGAAGGCGGCGUGCUGGACCUCUUCUGACGCUGAGGCGCGAAAGCCAGGGGAGCAAACGGG
rnacentral:rRNA from 1 species